rnacentral:rRNA from 1 species
GCUAGUUGUACGAGUUGAGACUCGUAGCAGAUAGCUCAGUAACACGUGGCCAAACUACCCUAUGGAUCCAGACAACCUCGGGAAACUGAGGCUAAUCUGGAAUAGGGCUCUCAUCCUGGAGUGGAGAGAGCCUGAAAUGCUCCGGCGCCAUAGGAUGUGGCUGCGGCCGAUUAGGUAGACGGUGGGGUAACGGCCCACCGUGCCAGUAAUCGGUACGGGUUGUGAGAGCAAGAGCCCGGAGACGGUAUCUGAGACAAGAUACCGGGCCCUACGGGGCGCAGCAGGCGCGAAACCUUUACACUGCACGCCAGUGCGAUAAGGGGACUCCAAGUGCGAGGGCAUAUAGUCCUCGCUUUUUGCGACCGUAAGGUGGUCGCGGAAUAAGUGCUGGGCAAGACCGGUGCCAGCCGCCGCGGUAAUACCGGCAGCACGAGUGAUGACCGCUGUUAUUGGGCCUAAAGCGUCCGUAGCUGGCCGCGCAAGUCUAUCGGGAAAUCUCUCCGCUUAACGGAGAGGCGUCCGGUGGAAACUGUGUGGCUUGGGACCGGAAGACCAGAGGGGUACGUCUGGGGUAGGAGUGAAAUCCCGUA